UUUUAUCUAUGGAAGUUAGCUAUUGCUUUUAUGCUCAAUUGUACUAGCUUCUGAGCUAAUUUUGUUAGCAACCUUUAUUUACUGCUUAAUCACUUGAAUGUUUUGUGCAUACAGAUUAAAGCUGCCAUGCCAUGCUCCAUUUACUCAUGUUUUUGUCCCUGGAAAAUUGAAAGGGGGGCCUGAUAUUCAGUCAGAUUGGUGCUUCAUUAGGGCUGCCAGAACAGGCCUCCUUCUGGUGUGGUGCGGUGCGGUGCCUGACUUCAAGUUGGUUGUCAUGUCAGCUGUCAAAGGCGGAGCAAACUUUCUGAGACCUUUGACAUGGUGAAGUGGACAGGUUUCUGUACCAUCUGCUUGCUUCAACCUCUCUCUCUAUCUUGGACCGGUCAAAGAGUGUCGCUCGCAAGGCGCUGGCUCAUCUGCCGACUGCCACCAUAACCCUCGUCUCCGGGCUGUCCUGCAGCUGCAGGUUUCAUUCCAUCUUCUCUAAUCUCUGGCUGCCACGCUCCGGGCGGCGCUUCCCGGUCGCCGUCGUUUCGCUGUACUCGUGCCGUACCAGGGGGGUACUUUUUCCAUGUCCUGCCGCCCUGGUGCUGCUCCGAGUCACUCUGGUGGGUUGGUCUUUUUGACCCCCCUUAAUUCCCCGUGGAGCUUUUUGCUGUCGAAUUAAGGGGGUGUUUGGUUGCUCCUGCUAAAGUUUACUCCCUCCGGUGCAUCAAUAAUUGACGUUCUAGCUUUGAGUCCAAAGUGCAAUAUAAAUUGACGUUUCACGCACAGCGAGCCGUCGCUCUCGAUUGACGCAGCAAGAAGUAAAUUCAACAGGUGUCUCUUGGCCUCCUCCACGCUACAUUAAAUAACACACGUUUCUUCCUCCUGUUCUCUUCAUACUGCUCUCUUCACAUCGCAAAAAUAUGGCCCCGACGCCUUCUCCAUCUCCAUCGUCGAGCAGUGAGUCAGACCCCAGCUGGUAUUGGCGCAACCCUGCCAGGCGAGCGGCGCGUGAGGCGGCAGCUCUCGCAGCGCGUGAGGCGCGUGCAAGACAGGAGGCAAGCGCGGCUAGCGAGGCAGUAGCGUCUGCGGCGCGUGAGGCAACACCGUCUGCGGCUAGCGAGGCAGCAGUGUCUGCUGCGCAUGAGGUCCGUGCGGCGGCAGCAGGUGAGUCUCGUGCGGCAGCAGGUGAGUCCCGUGCGGCGGCAGCGGCGGCUGCUCGCCGUGCACCAGCCCGGCGUUUCCGGCAGUAUCCCUACAGCAGGCCUUCACGGCAGAGACGAGGUGCAAGGCUUCGCACUCCUUCUGAUGAUGAAGAACCGAUCGUCACAGGAGGCAGUGCAAAAGGAGAAGACAAGAUCGAUGCAGCAAAAAUAAACUGAUGGAGAUUACAUUCGGUGAACUAAAUUCUACUAUCACUAUUCCUAAAUGUUCCAUGUAGCAAGCUUUUGCAUGGCUUCGUAUACCAAUGAUCUUUCACAAUGAACUUGUACCGGUAGUGAUCCUUGUCUUUCAAGUGUUCCCUUCUUCAUGUGAGGAAGAUUAUACUUAUUGGAUCCAUGAACUUUCAUCGUUUCUUUCAAAACUUGAUGAAGUGUUAAGU